CUUUUUUUAUUCCAAUUUGUUUCAACCCACAUACAAUUCUUUUUAUAUCAAUGGCAAUGGAGGUUUACCGCAAAUUCAUGAAAAUAAACUGAAUUAAAGACAGAUUUUGUCUAUAUUUAAGAAGAUCCGAAAAUUUUCGAGUUAGGUUUUUGAUGAACGAAAUUGGGGGAAAGUUCUUUUUUUUUUGUGGAGAUAAAUUGAAAUUCAGAGUUCGGCUUUGAGUAUUCAAUUUCUUUCAAAACUUGUAUUGCAAAUGUUUGUCUUCUCGCUCUAAAGUGUAGUUGCAAGUACUUUUUUUCCCUUGGUUUUUACUUUUCUUUGGGUCAUUAUUGUUAGUUUUGAAAUUUAAUGGUUCCUGAUAUCUUUUUCUCUAAUUUUUUCUCUUUUUUCCCCUUUGUAUUCUUUUGGCUAAUUCUGAAGUUUAGUGGUUAUUGCAGGUUCUCUUCAUCUGUUUCUUCUCUGAUUUUUCCCUUUCCCUUCUCUUUUUUUUUUAUUUUGGUUCUUUUCAUGAUUUUUGAUUUUGUAAUAGAAUCGGGUGGUAAAACUGCAUUUUUAAACUCUAACGUUGAUGAGUUUUGAAGUUCCGUGUUUUCCUGGGUGCUUCACGUACUUGUUAAUUUUGCAAUUUGAGGGUUGUUAUAAUGGAAAAAAAAUAUGGUUAAUCAUAAUAUUUUAACAGACUGAAGCAUCAAUUUGGUGAAGGUGUUUCUAAAGCUCUUAUCAAAGAAGUGUCUUAAAAUUUUUAUUGUCUUAAUAAUUUUUUUAACAACAUUUUAGUAUUAAAUGGCAAUUGAGAGUCAAAAACAAUGAGCCCAAGGAGCAACUUGAUUUUGAUUAAAGAAACAGAGUACUUUCAUUGGUAAAUUUCUGGUGUCCUAGGUAUUUUCAUACAAUAAUGUGGCUGAAAAUUUUGACUUUUGAUGUGGAAGUUUUUAAUUAUUAAAUAGUAGUCUACUCCCAAGUUUCAUAUAUGUUUUGCUGGUGUGUUUUUUUCCCGUUAAAUGACUUUGAUGAUCUAUCUUUGCGUCAAUGAUUACUAUGAGUAUAUUCAUUAGAUAUUACUUAUUAUAAAAAAGUCUGUGGUAAUUAGUUUUCUUAAUUUCUUGAAAUGGUUUAUGCAUAGGGCACUAUGGUUGUGUUGAUGAACAAUGCACUUUAUUUGAAAAGGAUUAUUGUUCACCUCUUUCUAAUUUUCUUUCAUGUGUUACAAGAGAUGAUCUAUAUAAUGAGAAUGACGAAUGGAUGUAUACCUACAUACAAUGACAUUUAGAGUAAUGGUAAUAGACUGGAUACAUGUCAAAUUUUAGAUAGUGAAUCUGAUCAUUAUGGUCCCUAUAGGCAACAUGUUGGACUAUUAUGAAGCAACCAAGCUUGACCUUAAUAAAGUGAAUAUUUUUACUUGCUAAGAGUAAUAAGAGAAUAUACGACGGAUUAAAAAAUCAUUAAAAUUGACUUUAGUCAUUAAGAAAUCAACAUGUUGAAUCAGUAUUUUGGAUAUCAUUUUACUGAUUGUAUGUAUUGAUGAGUAUUGAAGCUACAAGUCCUUGCUCAGAUGAUCAUCUUUUGUUCUUGCUCAGUUGAACAUCUUUUAGUUUGCAUAUAGUUGUUGCCUGUGACUUUUACUUUGAUAGUUCUUAGUCCCUAACUAGCAAAUAUUCCAUACAUCCCAAAAGAAAAAGAAUUACUUUGAUCUUUAUGGUUGGAGGUGCUUGAUGUGUGUUUUAGAGUGGAGGUGGAUAGGAAAGCAUUCUUUUAGUUUAUUUAUUCUAAUAACUGUAAAUAUAGGAAUGCUUUGUACCAUGGAUUUUAUUGAAAGGGUCCUCCAAAUAACAUAGUUAAUUGUUUUCGCAAUUGUUUUAACUUAGAGGCUAGAAGAAAAACUAGUUUUUGAUAAUUUUCUUGACUAUGUUAGCUGGACUAUGCCGUAAUGCAUACAGAAUUAGUUGUCAACUUCACAUUUAAUAAGGAUAUUUCUUUCCUGUAAGAAUAUUGAGUCUUGAGUCUGGUCCAGUGAGGCAUCAAGUACUUCUGUAAAGGAUCAUUGGAAUACCAUACAUUUUAGAGUUUAUCAAUUUGCUCUUUAAGUUAAAGAAUUAGUUUAUAUAUUUUGCCAAUCCAAGCACAAAUCAUAUCCUAUUUGACUGUCUUCUUUAUAUAUGAAAGUAAAAUUGUGUAUAAAAUCUAUUCGAAAUAGCCAUCUUACAUGUCACUUUUGUCAAUCGAGAACUUUAUACCUUGGAUAGUAUUCAUAAACUUUUUUUGUUGUGUAAAGACUCAUUUAAGUUUAUUGACCAUCCAAUAGGGCCACGAGUUCAGACUUUAUUUCUCUAUUAUUAAGAGAUUUUCCCUUCCGUAGCAGAUUAAGAGGUUGAACAUACCCAACAUGGUGCUAAUGUGAAUACAAUGAUCAGAAUCUGUAAGGACUUGUCUAUUCGUAUAUCUUUUUUUCCCCUUUUUCAUGUUGGAUUAAAGAGCCUCUAACAAUAUCUUUGUUGUAUUUGAUCGUGUAGGUAUGUCUUAUUUUAGAAGCUACCUCACUCAUAAAGUAAUAUGAGAGCAAUAUGAUGGUUAAUAUAAGAUAGUAGCAUUACAGUUGAAACUUGCUGAUAGGUUUAUUUCUUUUUAAGUAAUAUGUAUCCGGUCUAUUUGGAAUAUGGCAUUUAUGAGGAUGAAUCUCGCUAAUAAGUUGUCUAAUGUUAAUACUCCUGGUGGAAAUUGUCAUCUUAUAUAUACAUUCUCUAUGCUUCAGGUCAUAUCCGUGCCCAUGGUGUUCUGUUAGGUUUCCAGAGCAUUGUUCUCACUAUUUCCCUAUUGUAGCCUCUGGAAUCACAUAAGUUUCCUUAAGGCUUUAAUUAUUGGGUUUUAGCUCAGGUAAUAUUCUUCAAUUUGAUUCCCGUUUUUCUUUUUCUGCAAUGCGUUUCUUGGUAUUACAAUACAAAAUAGGGGUACUACAUACAUUUCACUUAUGUGAGGUUACCUGUCUUCUAAUCUGAACCACCACGUUUGUUGUAUGAUCUAUCUUCUCAAAGAUUCUUUUGCACUUGGUAAACCAAUCUUUAAGUUCUAAACGUCAAUUUUCUCAUCUCGCAUCGUCUCUAUGCUUCUCCCAUUAGAUCCAUCAGCAUUAGAUUUCACGCUCUAUUUUGACAUGGUGCUUUGUAGGAUCUUUUCCGCAAUUUUUACUAAGUAGUAAUUAUUUUAGUUACUUCUUCUGUUCACCUUUAUGUUUUGUGGCAAAAAGUUUUGAUUGGGGUGUUUUUAUUUCUUUGGUGUUUAGUAGAACUGUUUUGAAUAUGUGAAUAAAGACCAAAUCCUAUAAUGCUCUCAAAGUGAGCUUUCCUAUCCAACUAUCCAAUCUUGUGCUUACUCCUAUUUGGAAAUUCUCAAUACACUGCUAGAAUUGGAGAUGGAUUUAUAGUUUGUUUUCGUUGAAUAGACUUUGGGACUUCACUGAGAAUAUUCAAACAUGACAAAAAUGUUUAUCUGAGAUUUUGAGGAGGUUUCAGGUAAGGUUCAUCUCAUAUCUUAAAAGACCCAAUCCAAUUUUGUUGCUUUACUCAUAGAGACUUGGGUCGCUAUAUCACAUUCAUCUUACCUGUUAAGAUUUAAAAGACAUGAAUAGCCCUUCUACUUUCAGAAGUUCAAAAUAGAUCACACAUCGUGUGAACUGCAUAAAUAUCUGGUAUGAAACUCAAUCUCUUAUGUUAGAGUCAUUCAAUACACUUGUCAGUUCUCACAGAUUUGUGUAUCGGCCUCUAUUAUUUGAGUUAUGAUAAAUAAUUAUUUCAAGUAAAAGUGCAUUAGAUUAGAUUAGAACUCUUGAUAUUACAUAAUCUGAAAUGAAGGUAAUAAAAAAAAGGACAAAAUUAAUACUUCAGCCAACCCUGAUUUAUCUUCUUAAGGGAGAUCUAUAAUUCCAGAUUAAAGUAUUGAAUGUUGGUUUAGAUAGAGUAGUACAUUUUUAGCCACCAUUGAAUAGAAUUAGAUAAAAAAAGAAAGAACGAAUAGAAUUAGGAAUAUUCUACUUUAGUAUACACCCUUAUACGAGUAUGUGAUGCAUACCGACCUAUCUUUCAAAGAUAUUCUUUGUUCAAAUACAACAACUAGGUGAAUAGGCAAUGCCUCUACAUAGCCAGAUAAACAUCAGUUUAAGUAGAAGAACCUUAGGUGCUUAAAUCAUAAACAGGAAAAUUUUUGAUUUACUGAUUAUGCAUGUGUAUCUUUUUUCCUACUAUUUUGUUUAGCUAUCUUUUAUGGCUAUUUGCAGCAAUACAAUAAAACUGUAAAGUUUAUCCUUUUUAUCCCCUUCUUUUGCCUAGUUGGUGGUUGAAGAAUGAGGGGGUUGAAGUAAUUAUUUAUUUGGAAUUGUAAUUUCGAGCCUUUGAUCUUGUACUUAUCAUUCCUAAUUGUCUAUAUGAUGAACAAUUGAACAACCUAAGUGUAUAUGAGUAAUAUCGUUGAACUCAAUUGGGAAUAUUGCUUUAUAUUACUAAAUUUAUACCAUAAAUUUAUGGUUAAAUAUGUUAUUGUAAGUUUAAAGCACGCGCUAACUAUUGUUCCGGUCCACUUAUGGCAGGAAAUAUCAGUUAUUUUUUGACAAGGACGUGCUACUUUGUUCAGUGAUUAUGGAUUCAACCUACUUUGAUUCUAAUAUUUUCUAUUUCUUCAAGUUGAUCUUGGUUCUGCAAUUGUCAAGAGUUCGACUUAUUAAUACUGGAUGUUUUCUUGGCGUUUUUGCCAUGCUCAGUCUGUCCUUCGGCCAUAACUUACAACUUGCAUCUGCUUUAUUGUGCCUGAUGGGUGGUAGUGCUGCGUAGGCAGUAGCAGAUGUUACUAUUGAUGCCUGUGUCACAGAGAACAGUAUAAGUCAUCCUUCUCUUGCCAGUGACAUGCAAAGCUUGUGUGGAGUGAGUUCUUCAAUCGGGCAACUGAUUGGGUACACUAUCAGUGGAUUUUUGGUUCUCAUCUAAUUGGAUCUAAGGUUUGGUAUCGCUGGCUUAAUUUGAUCAUUAUCGAUGAAAUAUUGAGCUAGAGUUUCGAUGUGUGAGCUUAGUGUCAUUAAAUUUAUAGUUUAGGGUAUUGUUGACUUUAUACUUAUAUGUGCCUUCCAGUGGCAAUAGAACAUCCACGUCUAUUUAUAUCUAGUUCGUUAGUUGAUUGGAAUAUAAUGAUGAUUCCAGGUAUAGUGAAUGAACCGCUGCAUAGUUGGGCGUAGAGAAGGAGGAGAAGAUACAAGAUAUGUUUUUUUCUCUGUCUUCUUCUCCUGAGACGAUUUGCUAAAGGGCCUACUGGCAAAACUAUAAUGUUAAAGUUACUGGACAUGGUUAGAUUGGAGGACAACAAGAAAGACUCACUGAUCUGGGCAGCAAGCAAAGAUGGUACUUUCACAGUCGAGAGUUGUUACAGUCUGCUAAAACAACAAUAUGGGCUUUAUCAAUCAGAUUAGCCAUGGAAAGCAAUAUGGAGAUCAAAAGCACCUAUUAAAGUAGCUUGUUUUGGUGGGUCGUAGCAAAGGGAACUUGUUUAACUCGAGAGAACUUGCAAGAGAGAGCAACUAUUCUAUGAAACAUGUGUUACAUGUGUGAAGAAGCAGAAACAGUCAGUCAUCUAUUCAUUCAUUGCAAAGUGGCAAGACAGUGUUGGAGCUCUUCCUAAAUAUAUAUGAUGUCAACUGGGUUAUGGCCUCUAAUGUCAGGAGUCUGUUGGAGACUUGGCAACAUCAAAAAAUAGCAAAAAGCCAACAGAUAGUAUGGAGAACAAUUCCUCUAUGUGUGCUCUAGACAAUAUGGUUGGAAAGAAACAAGAUUUUCCCUGAAGGGGAAAGGCAGCAUGUUUCCAGGAUUAAAAAUAGUUAUUUAUUAAAUUUAUUUUUCUGGUGUAGGAAGUAUGCUAUGGAAAAUAUGGAACAGUAUAUGAUUUUUCUAGAGGAAUUGGGAGGAAUAUA